UACGUAGGGAGCAAGCGUUGUCCGGAAUUACUGGGUGUAAAGGGAGUGUAGGCGGGACAGCAAGUUAGGUGUGAAAUAUACGGGCUCAACUCGUAUACUGCACUUAAAACUGUUGUUCUUGAGUGAUGAAGAGGCAGGCGGAAUUCCCAGUGUAGCGGUGAAAUGCGUAGAUAUUGGGAGGAACAUCAGUGGCGAAGGCGGCCUGCUGGGCAUUAACUGACGCUGAGGCUCGAAAGCGUGGGGAGCAAACAGG
rnacentral:rRNA from 1 species